rnacentral:rRNA from 1 species
CUCCUACGGGAGGCAGCAGUGAGGAAUAUUGGUCAAUGGCCGAGAGGCUGAACCAGCCAAGUCGCGUGAGGGAAGAAUGUCCUAUGGAUUGUAAACCUCUUUUGUCAGGGAGCAAAGUCACCCACGUGUGGGUGUUGGAGAGUACCUGAAGAAAAAGCAUCGGCUAACUCCGUGCCAGCAGCCGCGGUAAUACGUAGGGAGCAAGCGUUAUCCGGAAUUAUUGGGUGUAAAGGGUGCGUAGACGGGACAGCAAGUUAGUUGUGAAAGCCCUCGGCUUAACUGCGGAACUGCAACUAAAACUAUUG